GAUGAACGCUGGCGGCGUGCCUAAUACAUGCAAGUCGAGCAAACAGACGAGGAGCUUGCUCCUCUGACGUUAGCGGCGGACGGGUGAGUAACACGUGGAUAACCUACCUAUAAGACUGGGAUGACUUCGGGAAACCGGAGCUAAUACCGGAUAAUAUAUUGAACCGCAUGGUUCAAUAGUGAAAGACGGUUUUGCUGUCACUUAUAGAUGGAUCCGCGCCGCAUUAGCUAGUUGGUAAGGUAACGGCUUACCAAGGCAACGAUGCGUAGCCGACCUGAGAGGGUGAUCGGCCACACUGGAACUGAGACACGGUCCAGACUCCUACGGGAGGCAGCAGUAGGGAAUCUUCCGCAAUGGGCGAAAGCCUGACGGAGCAACGCCGCGUGAGUGAUGAAGGUCUUCGGAUCGUAAAACUCUGUUAUUAGGGAAGAACAAAUGUGUAAGUAACUAUGCACGUCUUGACGGUACCUAAUCAGAAAGCCACGGCUAACUACGUG
rnacentral:rRNA from 1 species